rnacentral:rRNA from 1 species
CCUGUGAUCAUGUAUUUAACGGCCGCGGUAUUUUGACCGUGCAAAGGUAGCGCAAUCACUUGUCUUUUAAAUGGAGACCUGUAUGAAUGGCAUAACGAGGGCUUAACUGUCUCCCCUUUUUAGUCAAUGAAAUUGAUCUCCCCGUGCAGAAGCGGGGAUAACCACAUAAGACGAGAAGACCCUGUGGAGCUUUAGACAUAAUGGAAGCCCGAGUUAAAAGAGCUAAAAUAACAGCCUAAACUAAUCGGCCCCUUCCCUGAUGUCUUUGGUUGGGGCGACCGCGGGGUAAUAAACAACCCCCACGAAGAAUAAGGGAAACCCUCCCCUGAAACAAGAGCCACAGCUCUAUUUGGCAGAAUCUCUGACUAAAUGAUCCGGCAAAGCCGAUCGACGAACCGAGUUACCCCAGGGAUAACAGCGCAAUCCUCUUCCAGAGCCCAUAUCGACAAGAGGGUUUACGACCUCGAUGUUGGAUCAGGAC